rnacentral:rRNA from 1 species
AUGCAUGUCUAAGUAUAAGCAAUUAUACCGCGAAACUGCGAAUGGCUCAUUAAAUCAGUUAUCGUUUAUUUGAUAGUACCUUACUACAUGGAUAACCGUGGUAAUUCUAGAGCUAAUACAUGCUGAAAAUCCCGACUUCGGAAGGGAUGUAUUUAUUAGAUUAAAAACCAAUGCCCUCACGGGCUCUCUGGUGAUUCAUAAUAACUUCUCGAAUCGCACGGCCUUGCGCCGGCGAUGGUUCAUUCAAAUUUCUGCCCUAUCAACUUUCGACGGCUGGGUCUUGGCCAGCCGUGGUGACAACGGGUAACGGAGGGUUAGGGCUCGACCCCGGAGAAGGAGCCUGAGAAACGGCUACUACAUCCAAGGAAGGCAGCAGGCGCGCAAAUUACCCAAUCCCGACACGGGGAGGUAGUGACAAUAAAUACUGAUACAGGGCUCUUUUGGGUCUUGUAAUUGGAAUGAGUACAAUUUAAAUCCCUUAACGAGGAACAAUUGGAGGGCAAGUCUGGUGCCAGCAGCCGCGGUAAUUCCAGCUCCAAUAGCGUAUAUUAAAGUUGUUGAGGUUAAAAAGCUCGUAGUUGAACCUUGGGCCUAGCCGGCCGGUCCGCCUCACCGCGUGCACUGGCUCGGCUGGGUCUUUCCUUCUGGAGAACCGCAUGCCCUUCACUGGGUGUGCCGGGGAACCAGGACUUUUACUCUGAACAAAUUAGAUCGCUUAAAGAAGGCCUAUGCUCGAAUACAUUAGCAUGGAAUAAUAGAAUAGGACGUGUGGUUCUAUUUUGUUGGUUUCUAGGACCGCCGUAAUGAUUAAUAGGGACAGUCGGGGGCAUCAGUAUUCAAUUGUCAGAGGUGAAAUUCUUGGAUUUAUUGAAGACUAACUACUGCGAAAGCAUUUGCCAAGGAUGUUUUCAUUAAUCAGGAACGAAAGUUAGGGGAUCGAAGACGAUCAGAUACCGUCGUAGUCUUAACCAUAAACUAUG